CCUACGUGAGGCUGCAGUGGGGAAUAUUGGACAAUGGGCGAAAGCCUGAUCCAGCCAUGCCGCGUGUGUGAAGAAGGCCUUCGGGUUGUAAAGCACUUUCAGUGGGGAAGAAAGCCUUGGGGCUAAUACCCUCGAGGAAGGACAUCACCCACAGAAGAAGCACCGGCUAACUCCGUGCCAGCAGCCGCGGUAAUACGGAGGGUGCGAGCGUUAAUCGGAAUUACUGGGCGUAAAGCGCGCGUAGGCGGUCUGAUAAGCCGGUUGUGAAAGCCCCGGGCUCAACCUGGGAACGGCAUCCGGAACUGUCAGGCUAGAGUGCAGGAGAGGAAGGUAGAAUUCCCGGUGUAGCGGUGAAAUGCGUAGAGAUCGGGAGGAAUACCAGUGGCGAAGGCGGUCUUCUGGACUGACACUGACGCUGAGGUGCGAAAGCGUGGGUAGCAAACAGGAUUAGAUACCCGUGUAGUC
rnacentral:rRNA from 1 species